AGUGGGGAAUAUUGCACAAUGGGGGAAACCCUGAUGCAGCGACGCCGCGUGGAGGAAGAAGGUCUUCGGAUUGUAAACUCCUGUUGUUGGGGAAGAUAAUGACGGUACCCAACAAGGAAGUGACGGCUAACUACGUGCCAGCAGCCGCGGUAAAACGUAGGUCACAAGCGUUGUCCGGAAUUACUGGGUGUAAAGGGAGCGCAGGCGGGAAGACAAGUUGGAAGUGAAAUCUAUGGGCUCAACCCAUAAACUGCUUUCAAAACUGUUUUUCUUGAGUAGUGCAGAGGUAGGCGGAAUUCCCGGUGUAGCGGUGGAAUGCGUAGAUAUCGGGAGGAACACCAGUGGCGAAGGCGGCCUACUGGGCACCAACUGACGCUGAGGCUCGAAAGUGUGGGUAGCAAACAGGAUUAGAUACCCUGGUAGUCCACACCGUAAACGAUGAUUACUAGGUGUUGGAGGAUUGACCCCUUCAGUGCCGCAGUUAACACAAUAAGUAAUCCACCUGGGGAGUACGACCGCAAGGUUGAAACUCAAAGGAAUUGACGGGGGCCCGCACAAGCAGUGGAGUAUGUGGUUUAAUUCGACGCAACGCGAAGAACCUUACCAAGUCUUGACAUCCCUUGACAGACAUAGAAAUAUGUAUUCUCUUCGGAGCAAGGAGACAGGUGGUGCAUGGUUGUCGUCAGCUCGUGUCGUGAGAUGUUGGGUUAAGUCCCGCAACGAGCGCAACCCUUAUGGUCAGUUACUACGCAAGAGGACUCUGGCCAGACUGCCGUUGACAAAACGGAGGAAGGUGGGGAUGACGUCAAAUCAUCAUGCCCUUUAUGACUUGGGCUACACACGUACUACAAUGGCGUUAAACAAAGAGAAGCAAGACCGCGAGGUGGAGCAAAACUCAGAAACAACGUCCCAGUUCGGACUGCAGGCUGCAACUCGCCUGCACGAAGUCGGAAUUGCUAGUAAUCGUGGAUCAGCAUGCCACGGUGAAUACGUUCCCGGGCCUUGUACACACCGCCCGUCACACCAUGAGAGCCGGGGGGACCCGAAGUCGGUAGUCUAACCGCAAGGAGGACGCCGCCGAAGGUAAAACUGGUGAUUGGGGUG
rnacentral:rRNA from 1 species